AGAAAAGCCACACAGUUUUUUUGGGGUUUUCUGGUGUUUUUUUGUGUUUUAGGAAGGUGGAAAUAGAAAUGUAUAUCUAAGAUCCAACACAAGAAAGAAGUAUAUCUUGAGAAUGAGAGCAGCUGGCAGUGCCUGCUUCGUGAGCCCAGCCUGGGGGGAGUGGAGUGCACCUGUUGAGUUUGGAAAUGAGGAAAUUAUAUCUUCUUCUGUAUGGAUUUUACUUGGGGUUGCAACACCCUUAUUGGCAAUCAUUGCAAUCUUUUUCUGCAAAAGGACUGGCUGUUGGAAGGCAGCAUUUCCACAGAUCCCAGGACCAAAACCUGCUUUUUUUACACAGGCUGAUACAAAUCUAGAGCUGAUGGAGAGCAAAAUUCAGUCAAUAACAUCUGAAAAUGAAGAGAUAGUAUUAGUUGCUGACAUGGGGAGAUAACCAAGAAAAAUGGAGGAGUCUGAAAGUGCAUUUCAUAGACAACUGUGUAUCCCCGUGGAAAGCCUGGAACAAUAUAAUAGGCUUUCUUCAAUUUCUUUUUUUUUCUUGUAGAAAACAGUGAUGCAGCCAAGAGAGAAUGAUACCUCACAUGCAAUCUUUUCGAAUGCCAUUGUAUUUGCUUUUAGUUUUGGCUAAUUUUAAGUGGUUGGAUAAGUUGCCCUUACUGGAUAUCUUCUCUUUUGUAAAUAUGAUUGAAAUAUUUU
rnacentral:lncRNA from 12 species